AGUGAGCGCUGGCGGUAGGCCUAACACAUGCAAGUCGAACGGCAGCACAGUAAGAGCUUGCUCUUACGGGUGGCGAGUGGCGGACGGGUGAGGAAUACAUCGGAAUCUACUUUUUCGUGGGGGAUAACGUAGGGAAACUUACGCUAAUACCGCAUACGACCUACGGGUGAAAGCAGGGGAUCUUCGGACCUUGCGCGAUUGAAUGAGCCGAUGUCGGAUUAGCUAGUUGGCGGGGUAAAGGCCCACCAAGGCGACGAUCCGUAGCUGGUCUGAGAGGAUGAUCAGCCACACUGGAACUGAGACACGGUCCAGACUCCUACGGGAGGCAGCAGUGGGGAAUAUUGGACAAUGGGCGCAAGCCUGAUCCAGCCAUACCGCGUGGGUGAAGAAGGCCUUUGGGUUGUAAAGCCCUUUUGUUGGGAAAGAAAAGCAGCAGGUUAAUACCCCGCUGUUCUGACGGUACCCAAAGAAUAAGCACCGGCUAACUUCGUG
rnacentral:rRNA from 1 species